rnacentral:tRNA from 1 species
GCCUUGGUGGUGAAAUGGUAGACACAUUAGACUCAAAAUCUAACGCACAAUAAGCAUGGAGGUUCAAUUCCUCUCCAAGGCA